GAAAUGCGAUAAGUAAUGUGAAUUGCAGAAUUCAGUGAAUCAUCGAAUCUUUGAACGCACAUUGCGCCCGCCAGCACUCUGGCGGGCAUGCCUGUCCGAGCGUCAUUUCAACCCUCAGAACCCCUUGCGGGAUCUGGCGUUGGGGAUUGGCAUCCAGCCAGCCCCGAAAUCUAGUGGCGGUCCCUCCGCGACCUCCCCUGUGCAGUAGCGAUACCUCGCAGCGGGACAGCGGUCUGACCACGCCGUAAAACCCCCAACUUCUCAAGGUUGACCUCGAAUCAGGUAGGAAUACCCGCUGAACUUAAGC
rnacentral:misc_RNA from 1 species